UACGUAGGGUGCAAGCGUUAAUCGGAAUUACUGGGCGUAAAGGGCUCGUAGGCGGCCAACUAAGUCAGACGUGAAAUCCCCAGGCUCAACCUGGGAACUGCGUCUGAUACUGGAUGGCUUGAAUUCGGGAGAGGGAUGCAGAAUUCCAGGUGUAGCGGUGAAAUGCGUAGAUAUCUGGAGGAAUACCGGUGGCGAAGGCGGCAUCCUGGACCGACAUUGACGCUGAUGAGCGAAAGCUAAGGGAGCAAACGGG
rnacentral:rRNA from 1 species